rnacentral:rRNA from 1 species
UACGGGGGGAGCAAGCGUUGUUCGGAUUUACUGGGCGUAAAGGGCGCGUAGGCGGUCAGCACAAGUCAGUUGUGAAAUCUCCGGGCUUAACCCGGAAAGGUCAACUGAUACUGUGCGACUAGAGUGCGGAAGGGGCAACUGGAAUUCUCGGUGUAGCGGUGAAAUGCGUAGAUAUCGAGAGGAACACCUGCGGCGAAGGCGGGUUGCUGGGCUAACACUGACGCUCAUGCACGAAAGCGUGGGGAGCAAACAGG